UUGCCUAUCUUAGGUAGUUACGCUGUGC
rnacentral:piRNA from 1 species